rnacentral:rRNA from 1 species
UAACCGAAAUGAUCGAAAGGGAAAUGCGUUAAUAUUCGUAUGCCUCCCAUACAUUAAUGGUGACGGCUUGGGCAAAACUUGUGGAUCAUAUGUCAGGUCCACUUGCACCAAAUCUUUGGAGAACUGUUAUAGUGAGAAUUAGAUGAAGUCCCAGGUCCCAUGAAAAGCCGUAUGGAGACCGUACCGAGAACUGAAACAGGUGUUUUAGGGUGAGUAGCCUAAGGCGUAUCGGAUACAAGUAUCGCGAGGGAACUCGGCAAAAUAGCUCCGUAACUUCGGGAGAAGGAGUGCCAGAUUGGGAACAAUCUGGUCGCAGUGACUAGGGAGCUCCGACUGUUUAAUAAAAACAUAGGGGACUGCCAGAUCGAAAGGUUGUGUAUAGUCCCUGAAUCCUGCUCAGUGCUGGUAUCUUAAAUCGGGUUUCAACCUGACGAAGGACCAGUAAACAGCGGGGGUAACUAUGACCCUCUUAAGGUAGCGUAAUACCUUGUCGCUUAAUUGGCGACUUGCAUGAAUGGUCCAACGAGGGCUCCACUGUCCCCGCGAUACGUCCGGCGAAAUUGACUUUACUGGCGCACAGUCCAGUACAUUCUACCCGCAAGCGAAGACCCCAUAGAGCUUUACUGCAGCCUGUCGUUGCAUAGUCGCUUUCCAUGUACUGUGUAGGUGGGAGACGUUGAUCCCUGGGACGCCAGUCCCGGGAGUAGUUGAAAGGAGAGACACCACCCUUGGAGAGUAACUAUGCUAACUGUUAAUCAGGACACCGAUUGGUGGGCAGUUUGGGUGGGGCGCCACGCGCUCGAAAACCUAACAAGCGUGCCCAAUGGUCAGCUUAAGUGGUUCAGCACUCCACUGUUAACUGUAAGGGGAAAAGCUGGCUUGACGUGGAUCGGCACAAUAACGAUCGACGAUGCGAAAGCAGGGCCUAACGAACCUACCAGGCUUAUAAUUGAGGCCGGUAGAUAACAGAAAAGUUACCUCGGGGAUAAUUGAGUUGUCACCAGCAAGAGCUCACAUCGACCUGGUGGCUUGCUACUUCGAUGUCGUCUCUUCCUAUCCUGGGUCUGCAGCAGGACCCAAGGGUGGGGUUGUUCGCCCAUUAAAAGGGAUCGUGAGAUGGGUUUAGACCGUCGUGAGACAGGUUUGUUGCUUGGUGGUAGAAUCGCAUAAGGUGUUUGAUGGAAGGGGUCCUUUAGUACGAGAGGAACGAGGGCUCGGGGCCACUAGUUUACCAGUUGUCUGACAAGGCAAUGCUGGGUAGCCACGCCCUGAAGGAUAAGAGCUGAAAGCAUCUAAGCUCGAAGCCACCCCAAAGACGAGACACCUCAGAACACUCGUAAAAGACGAGAUUAAUAGAAUGCGGAUGUAAGUACGAAGCUUCGGCGACGUAUUCAGUCCAGCAUCACUAACGUUCGAGCAUCUUUUUUC